rnacentral:rRNA from 1 species
UACAGAGGUGGCAAGCGUUGUUCGGAAUUACUGGGCGUAAAGGGCGCGUAGGCGGCUUGAUAAGUCGGAUGUGAAAGCCCUGGGCUCAACCUGGGAACUGCAUUCGAUACUGUCGAGCUAGAGUGUGGGAGAGGGUGGUGGAAUUCCCGGUGUAGCGGUGAAAUGCGUAGAUAUCGGGAGGAACAUCAGUGGCGAAGGCGACCGCCUGGCCCAACACUGACGCUGAGGUGCGAAAGCGUGGGUAGCAAACAGGAUUAGAUACCCCGGUAGU